rnacentral:rRNA from 1 species
UGGGGAAUAUUGCACAAUGGGCGCAAGCCUGAUGCAGCCAUGCCGCGUGUAUGAAGAAGGCCUUCGGGUUGUAAAGUACUUUCAGUCGGGAGGAAGGUGGUAAGGUUAAUAACCUCAUCGAUUGACGUUACCCGCAGAAGAAGCACCGGCUAACUCCGUGCCAGCAGCCGCGGUAAUACGGAGGGUGCAAGCGUUAAUCGGAAUUACUGGGCGUAAAGCGCACGCAGGCGGUCUGUCAAGUCGGAUGUGAAAUCCCCGGGCUCAACCUGGGAACUGCAUUCGAAACUGGCAGGCUAGAGUCUUGUAGAGGGGGGUAGAAUUCCAGGUGUAGCGGUGAAAUGCGUAGAGAUCUGGAGGAAUACCGGUGGCGAAGGCGGCCCCCUGGACAAAGACUAACGCUCAGGUGCGAAAGCGUGGGGAGCAAACAGG